CCCCCGAUGAACUCGUGAACGAUCUUGCAGUCGGCUGUCACGCAGCUGAAGGCAAUGUUGAUGUUACCCUCAAACUCUAUGGCCACCUGGGAGGUCUUCACCACGUCGCCCACACCCAAAUCGAUGCGGAUCAGACGGUUGGGAGCGAUGCCCAGUACCUCGUCUUUACGGCUUCCUUUGAACCUGUUAAGACACAAAAAAACUACAAUACUUAGCAGUUGUUGUGUCAAGCUCUUGUUGUUUGGACAGGUAUGGUAUGACAGUACUGCUGUAAUUUAAACAAUAAAAAGCUUGAAAACAAAUGUAUGACUGAAC